GUAGGUACCGAGCGUUAUCCGGAUUUACUGGGCGUAAAGCGCGUUCAGGCGGUUUGGCAAGUCGGGCAUGAAAUCUCUCGGCUCAACCGGGAGAGGUUGUCCGAUACUGCUGGACUUGAGGGCAGUAGAGGGUGGUGGAAUUCCGGGUGUAGUGGUGAAAUGCGUAGAUAUCCGGAGGAACACCAGUGGCGAAAGCGGCCACCUGGACUGUACCUGACGCUCAAACGCGAAAGCUAGGGGAGCGAACGGGAUUAGAAACCCCGGUAGUCCUAGCUAUAAACGAUGUUGACUAGGUGUCGACGGUCUAAACCCCGCCGGUGCCGGAGCAAACGCAUUAAGUCAACCGCCUGGGGACUACGGCCGCAAGGUUA
rnacentral:rRNA from 1 species